CGGAACUAGAAAGAGAGAGAAAAACUUGCCAUAAAGGUGACUGGGUUUCGAUCCUGGUGACCGGCCGGGAGAAUGUGCCACUGCGUGAGGCCACAGGACGAACGCCAAGUGGAAAGCUGGGGGAGGAACUGUUUGUUCCAGUGGGGCUGCUGUGCGUCCACAGCGCUGGGAACAGAUGGAAAAACCAUCGCUACUCUGGAAACUUACUCCACGUAUGUAUACAUACGAGUGUCGCUUGCCAGAGCCCCCGCUCGCUACACAAAUCAAGAAGACAUAUACGACCCAGAGCUUGGAUCGUGCUGUGAACCCAGACAAAUCCUAAUUCCAUCAAGUGCUAGCUCUGUGACCUCAGACACCUCACUAAACCUCUCUGUUUCCUCAGGUAAAACAGUAAUGCCCAUUAGAAGCUCUCGCUCCUCUCCCAUUGGACCCAACUGUAUGGCCAUCGCCAGAGAAGAUACGAAGAUCAACCCCUAUCAGAUGCUGUGCUUAAGAACAGACACGUAAUAUCAUCGAGAUGGGGAGUUGGGCCGGAAAGAGCUGUUCCAAGAAAGAGCUGCUGCUCAUGUCUUUUAAAUGGGGCCCCCUUCUUUCCUACAUAGUAACAACAGAUUCAUUUAGAAACGAACCCAAAUGCACAUCUCCAGUGAAAGCAAUUCUGCAGUGACAUGAAUUUUGUUUACAAAUUAAAGCACCGGCUGGUGAUUGUUUGGAGCAGUUAUGAUUUACAACAGGUGCCCUGAUCAAUCAACCAAUCACUCUAAUUCAUAUGAGCAGCGGUCUUGCCUUGCCCCAGUUGUUUCAUUUCGCCAAGUAAUUGAUAACAAACCGCACUCAAGAUUCCAGCAAGCAAACCUCUAUGAUUGUUUACAGACUCCUAAAAGCCAGUGACUGGAGUUUUAUUUAAGAGAGAAGAAGGAAAAAUGAUUCGAAAAAUAUUCAUUAGUGGACUAUACUGAGCUGAAGAGUUAACAGGCUAGUGUUUAAUCUCUACUUUUAAACUUAAGUGUGAAAUCUUAGUUUUGAGAUCUUUGUGUUUGACUGGAUCUGCUGCUGGUAGGGAGACCGGAAGAAAUUAAUUUAUCUUAUAGAUUCAAGGGACAACUCCCUCUGAAAGUCACUCUUGAUAUGUAACUUACACUGAGAAAUACCAAGAGGCUUAGCAUUGAUUUAGAGUGGUCCCUAAAAGAGAAAUAGUUACGGUUCACCAGCAGAGUACCCUUUCCUUACAUCUGCAUAAUUUCUCAUCUACCUGAGGGUUAAAUUUUAUUCCAAAAGUAUAGCUCGUGUAUAAAUGUGAGCACUGAAAUCCUGGGGGAAAAUAUUAAAGAAUUCCCACAAAGAAAACUAGGAUAUAAAAAACUAUAAACAUCCAGUCUUAGCAUUCUUUAGGGACAGAGUCUAAGAGGCUGGAAACUGAGUUGGGUCUUACCACUUACUUGGUGUGUAAGACCCUGAGAAAGUCACUUAUCUUCUGUCUGUCUCAGUUUCUAGGCUUAGAGCAUUGAAGAAGACUGUUUAACCUUUCUACCUUUGAAACUCUAUGAACUCUGAUCACUCCUGGGGUGGCUGGAAUGUAUCUCAGGGUCUCUAAUUGAUAGAUAGCUAUUGGUAUCCAAAUCAGCUCUGGAAAUGCAAACCUUUUCCUUUGAGAGGAAACUCAUACCUUUCAGAGGCUCUGACAGACUCUCAGGGCUUUUUUUACCUUGUAGGUCAGAAGGAAGGAUCCUGAUAGAAUCCAUUGUAAUUGAAAUUUGGCAAUUUCUUUAUUUCCCUUGAAAGAAAAUCUACACCAAUCAAAGUGUUUACGUGGGGAAGGGGCCAGAACUAACGGGAAAGAAAGGGAGAGAGAACGGAGGUUGAACUGAAACUAACCAAAUAGGAUAUCCCUAAGACCAAUGAAAAUGCCCCAUAGUCAUAACAUUUGAACCUUGGACUCCAGCCACGCUAGCCUUUCCAAGAAAUCUUAGCAUAUUUUCUUGUCUAAGGUGUUAAACAGAUUGCACAUUAUCCUCUGCACCAAAAACUUAGCCUAGGUGAACCUUUUUUUAGUUAGACAAUAUGAUGGUGGCAGUGAUCAUUUAUAUUAGCUGGGCACACCCUCUCCUCCACCUCCACACCCCGCCCAAAUUCCUAAUCUUAAUGGAACUGAGAGUUAAGAAUGAUUUUUUAAUGUCUCGUUGGAUUUUUAGACUGUUAAUGUACCGAAUCCUUCUCAUUAUUACUUUAUUGAUUGCUCAUUGACCAGCCCCCUUCAAAUCGUAUUAACCACCCUCUGCCGGUUUAGAUUAGGAGAGUUUAAAAAGCACCUUUCAUUACUCCUCCCCCCCAACCCCUGCCAUGGAGUUGAGACUAGGCAGCUUAAUGGGAGCUCUAAUGGGGCAGCUAAGAGGAGAGGGGCCACGGUCCCUGCCGAUUGCAUUAAUAGCUCAAAGGGGGCCAAUACAGAAAAUUAGCCGUAAACGAGCUCUGGAGAUCUUCAAAUGAAAGAGCCAUUUAUCACGCUGGCUACCUUCACUCCACUCGUUUGCUCUCUCUACUGGGAACAACUCAUUUCCUCUUAACUAAAUUACUUCAGAAAUGUCAGCUAAGCCCAGAUAGCAAACAUAACAAGGGAGGGAGCUCAUAAUCUAUGGGGUGAUAUCAACACGGGUGAAAAAUUAGACUGGUUAAGUUUUAGGAGGGGGGCCUUGCCAUAAUUGGAGAGAGAGACAUAGAGAUACAGACAUAUAUUAUUUAUGUCCAGGUCUUCUGGCUUCAUAAACACAGGAGCAGAGACCCUCAAACCCAGACCAGUUGUCAGAAUUUUAUUAACAAGUAAUCAACCACUUAUUUCUAUUUUGCCUAUGGCUCUCUAAAGAUAAAAAUAUGAUAUUAUGAUCUUUUCUUUUUGUAAUAAAGCAAAUAUCUCAAAUAUUAAAUAAUGGAAUUGUCCUAAAUUUCAUAUUCAUAACACACCCCCUGAAUCAAUUAAAGUGAGUAGGGUGCUACUUGGAUGUUUUAAGCUGUACAAUUUUUAAAAACCUUUUGAGGACCUAAAAGGUACCCUAAUGUUUCCAAAACCAGAAUUAGCUACUUUAGUCACUAUUCUCCUUUUCUUAUUCCUGGAGAUAAACGUAUAUAUAAAUAUUCACAUUUCACUGACAAACAUAUACAAGAUCUGAAACCAAAGCAUCCCACAUCUAAGAAUAUUUUCAGCUCCAUUUUGCUAGGCAAGCUAAGUUCCAAAUAUUUUUAUUGGCUUGACUAUUAAUAACAUUUCUGAUUGGUCAUCUGUUGGGCAUGUCCCACUGCCAGCCCAAAUGAUGUUGCUAGGAUACGGAACCCUUAGCUAAGUGGUUCUAGCUUUCCAUGAAAAGGGAGUGGGAACUAAAACAAAAAAUGCCAAUGGAGAAGCUCCUCCCCCACCCCACUCCAAUCAACCAGCAAUUAACCAAAAGAGAAGACCCAAGAGAAAAUGGUGAAAGUGAGCUGUCAGUCAGCAAGUGGCAAGUCCAAGCAAGGAGCCUGGGUAUCCUAGCAAAUCUAAAAGCUGGCAUUCAAAACCGAAGCGAUAUUAUCUAAAGAAGAGAGGGAGAGAUGUUUGGAGCAAUACUUAAAAUAAAUAGUUUUGCCCCAAACCUUACUAUUCUUCAGGAUAUUCAUUUCAAAGCCAGAGGGCACCAUUUCAAGUACUGCUUCCCCCACCCACUUCUCAAAGAUACUCUUCCUGCCUUUGUAAAAGAAGAAAAUUUAGAAUACCUCACCCAGUUUGGAAUGCUUAUUCCACAACCCUCCUACUAUCCCAGUUUGACUAUGGAUGGAUUCUUCCUAAAGCAUCUUUUCUUUUAAUUGUUUCUGUGAAUGUCAAGUGGCUCAAGCAAAUCAUAAAUGACUGAAGUUGGGGAUUGUUGACACCAAACAUAAGGACAGGCUUUCUCCAGCAUCAAUAAGAAAGGGAUACAGUAGUGAAAAUUGUAUCUUCAAAUCCCAGGUCCUGUGAUAAUUAAAGAUUGCACUGUUUACACAUUUAAGCUCCUAAAUUUGUGGCAUGUGAGUGACAUUCAGGCCUUUCAGCAGCCACACUAAUCUCCAGGCAUUCUCUCAGUGACUGUCAGAGAAGAGGAGAAAAAAUUAAGCAGCUGCAAUACGCCCGAAAUGAGUUAUUGUAAUUACAUUUAAUUAGUUUAAUUAGUUAAUUAUUUUGCUUACAGCUGUACAAGAGACUGCAAACAUUUGUUAAUAUCACAUGCCCUUUAACAGUAUGGGGUGAUUCCACAGUCACACUAAAUCAUGAAUGCAUAUGUAGGAAGAUUUAGAAAUGUGCAUAGGCUGUCUCAGCUUCUCAGGAUGCGCAUAUUUAGCAACACAUUUGGCACAAUUAAAAAAAAUAAUAAAAGAAACAACUCAUAAAACACGGAGAACUGGGAACAAAAUUACCACCAAAAAAUCAAAUACAAAAACAAGGAAAGAAGGAGCUGUCUCAAUGACAUAGGGUUUAGCUCAGCAAACUCCAGUUAUCAAUGAAAUAAUUAUAGCACAUUUUUGAAGCCAGUGUUUCCCAGCCGGUUCCACACAUGAUGAUAGCUCAAUUAUUUAAGAUGUGCCUAGAAUGGCUACCAAAUCAUGGGAAAAAUGGCAAUAGUCUCUGUUCCUCUCUCUCUCAUCGAGUUUCUGUCUGCGAUUUUCUCUCCCCCUUGCCCCAUUUCCUUCUUCCGGACAUGCCCUUUCACCUAGGCUGACGGCCAUUGUCCUAUGAUUGUGAGCAAACAUUUGUGUCUUAUAAAAUAAUGAAUUCCCCCACAGUGAAAACUCAUCAUAAAGACAUUAGCCCACAGGAAAACUUUGCUUACUUUGGGGGU